rnacentral:rRNA from 1 species
UACGUAGGGUGCGAGCGUUAAUCGGAAUUACUGGGCGUAAAGCGUGCGCAGGCGGUUUGUUAAGACAGGCGUGAAAUCCCCGGGCUCAACCUGGGAACGGCGCUUGUGACUGGCAGGCUAGAGUACGGCAGAGGGGGGUGGAAUUCCACGUGUAGCGGUGAAAUGCGUAGAGAUGUGGAGGAACACCGAUGGCGAAGGCAGCCCCCUGGGCCGAUACUGACGCUCAUGCACGAAAGCGUGGGGGAGCAAACAAGA